AUGUUUACAGCGGGCGUGAACGAGCUGGUGCUGGUGGUUUUCAUUGAGACUGUAGGAAAAGCGCCUCGGCAGGGCCUUAUUUCCAGGCGUCGCCCGGGCCUACACGGCUCCAAUCACUCCACCUCAGUAAUGGCGUUCGGUGCGAAGGGAAGCGAGAACCAGGGGAGGCAAAGCUGGGUGCAGCGCUGCGGGGAGCCACCGGGCCCUCCUCGCCCGGCGGCACCGGGAGGGGAGGACACGGGGACGGCGGGAGGGGCCGCCCGGCGGCCGGCAGAGCCCCCCGAGGGGCGCGGAGCACUUCCACCUCCCGGCAGCCGGGGAGAGGAUGAGGAGCCGUCAGCCAUUUUCCCUUGCCCUCCAAAACACCAGCGAUGCAGGGCCACACGCCGGGGGCUGCGAGGGAGGCGCUGCCGCCACCCGCCGCUCGUUAUCCCCACACACCCCCCUCACCACCACCACCACCCCCGCCCCGCGGGGCCCGGCUCGCCCCCUCCUCCCCGCCGCACCCCGCCGUCCCGCACCCCGACCCGGGGAGCCCCAUCCCCCGGGGAGCGCCUCCCUCCGCUCCGCUCCGCACGACGGCGGCCGGCUGCAGCACAAACAGCUGCCCCCCCGAGCAGCCGGCUUCGCCUCGCCGCGUACCCGGCCCCGGCCUCGGCUUCCCGGCCCCGCCCGGCCACAGCGCUCCUCCACUCACCCCCGCACGGCUUCUCCUUGUCCCGCGGCUGCUGCUGCGACGGCCCGGUGCCUUCCUGGGUGCUGCCGAAGGAGCGCGGCCGAGGACCGCCUCAUCCCAGGCUGGAUGUUUUGGAAAUCUUCGUGGGAAGCUUAGCACUGCAGUGAUAAGUGGGAUGUGUUCACGGAUGCCUGUGGCAGCACCUACAGAGGUCGGGCCGAGCAGCUGUCGCCAUCAUAAUUUCCUAUUUUCUGUCACACCUGACAAAACUGUGGGUUUCUCUCUGGUCAAAUUUACUAAGUAAAUAAAACAUUGGGUAGUGUCCCUGUGGACAUUUAGGACUGUAAAAAGUGGCAAAGUAGGUUCGUGUGAGCUGCUUUAGACUGAGGGCAAUCACUCCCAUGGCAUCCGUCUCUGCGCUGCCUAAAGGCAGGUAAAGUGCCUCUCUCUGAAGGCAACACGUAUUCUACCAUCUACAUUAGGACAGAUGACUCUCACCCUUUAGCUUUUAUUCCAUUUGCCCCUUCAAAAAUAGACAAAAUAAUUUUAAUUUUAUUUUGAUGAUUAUUAUUAACUAUUAAGACUAUAUUAUGAUUUCAGUAUGUUGACUAUAAUAUGUACUAAUACUAUAUAAUAUAAUUGAUGUAAUUAUAAAAUAUAAUUUAGUAUCAUUAUUAUCAAUAUCCGAAAACAGAGCUGGAAUAAUUUCUAGUACGCUCAUCAGGAGAGAACCCAUGUUUCAAUGUUGAGUCUUUAUAAUGAAGAUAAAUUGCAUUUAGAUAUGUUCAUAGAUGCUUCAGCUUGAUCAAUGCUAUUUCUUAUUUUUUCUGUUUGAAAUAGUAACACAUUUCUGUUUGUACCUCUUACCUGUACACUGAGUAAAUGUAAUACAGAUGUCCAUGAAAUCUUGGGAAUUACGUAAUAGUCAAAAUUCAGUGACUACAGAGUCACAUUAAUUAAAUACUUUUUGCAUUGUGGUUAAUCAUUUAAUGUGAAUUCCUGGUCAUCCUGAAAUCUCUGACAGCUUUUUAGUGGCUUCAAUGGGGCUAGGACAUCAACAGAGAGACAUCCCAGACAGAUGAAGCAAAACACCCCACAGUAAAAUAAAAAAAUUACUUUGCUACUAGAAAAAUGCUAUCGACUACAAGUAAACUUAGUAUGCUGUAUGCAGAGGUAAUUUCUGCAAAAAUAUGGGCAGCUCCUAUCUAUUUUUAUACCUAUUUGGUUAUAACAACAUCUUAUAACUGGUAUAGAGUCACAGCCGCGGUUUCCCUUUCUUGGUGCUGAUGUAGUUCAAAACCUCUCUGGUUUUGUACCUGACAAGCCAAAGGCAUAUACAUUCUAAUCUUGUCCAAAAAGAAGAUUGUACCAAUUUAUCUCAAUCUUUUUUAAAUUGAAGUAGUUAAAUUGAUACGUGUGUGUGUGUGCGCAGCUGAUGGUGUUCAUCUACACUUCUCUUUCAAUUAAUCUCUCUGGCAGUUGCAGCACAUCCUGCCUACUAACCAGUCCUUGUGUGGGCUUGGGAGAAGUUCAAAGACUGUAAGUAGAAAAGGACCGGGCUGCAAGCAAAACAAAGCAGAACUGAAACUAAAGUCCCAAUGUGUUUUGCUUAUUGCUCAGACCUCCUUUGCAAUACGUCGUCUCACCGUGCCCCAAAUUAGGAGGCUUGCCAACAGGGACUGCUUGAAGCCUGGUCGAUAGACCACAUUUUCUAAUGCUGCUUAAAUACGUUGCCCUUUCUAGAGCUGCAGUGCAGAAAUAAUUAACAUUUACCAAAUUCUAGCAACAAUUUGCCUUUAUAGGACUCGAGCUUAAUAACCAGCUUUAAACUUCUGCUGACAGUCCUUCUCACCUUUCUCCUUAGGAUUCGACUUGACCACCAUUUAAGCAGACAGAUGCUGGCACUCCCACCACACUCAGUGGUUCUGCUCACCCCCGGCAUCUUGUCCCUGUCCCUGAGCUCCCUGUUUCUUCAGGCUAUUGUAAAUAUUUGUGCAGUUGCUCAAGGAACCGAUAUAGCUGGGGGAAAAAAAAGAAAGAAAAAAGAUUGCUUUCAACCAUAUCAGUCUCCUGGUGGUAUUUUGCCAUGUGGAUAGAGAACCAAUUCUGCCGGCUGAGGGGAGGAGGUAGCGUGGCUGAGUGUGAUGGUUGGAGGCAAGGGGAGAGCAGAACAACAUCUCCCAGAGGCUGUGCUGACUUGGAGUGUUUGUCAAACAGUACACCCUUCAGCUCAACCUUUUAUUUCACCUGACGCCUCCUCCUAAGGAAUUCUUCACAAAUCACUGAUACUGGUCACGUUGACUAAGUGCAUCUAGUGGCAUCUCGGCCUGGGGGCUGAGCACGCCUGGGGCUGACUCUCAGCCUGGGAUGCCAUGUAGGAGUCCUGGACACU
ensembl:lncRNA